GAUUUGUAUUCUGACAAUGAAUUAUUGUAAAUGUCUGAAUGUUUUAUUGUCCUGGCCUAGGCCUCAUCUCACCUGGAAAGAUUUAUAAUGUAACAGAAUAUCCUGUUGAACAAAACUGCCA